CCCUGUUCAGCCUACUCGAAGGGAACACGUUUUAUCUCCAUGAGAAGAAAGUUUCUCGCAAAUCCCAUGGACUUAAGCAGGCUCGCUGAAACAAAUUUUCUGUCUUUUUAACUGAGAAUUCCGAGGAUAAAUUCUCGCUAAAGAUAUAGUUUAACGGGAAAUUUACUUAUUAUAAUAAUGAAAUAGGCGCUAGUAGUUCUAAAAUAUUCAACCUUUAAGGACGUGAAGCGGUCCGGUUUUCCCAUAAGGAAUGCUCUUAAAAGAAUUCUUUGUCUUAAACUUUUUAUAUAAAGUAUCUUUUAUUUAAAAAAAAGUGUCCCACAAGAACCAACUUUCGCACGAGAUGAAGAAGACGAACAUAAUAUACCUAAUUACUUUAGGAAUAACUUUGAUCAUUGUCACCUUAAGAACUUUUAUGAGCCAAUAAAUGUACAAUAACCA